UACGUAGGUGGCAAGCGUUGUCCGGAAUUACUGGGUGUAAAGGGCGUGUAGGCGGGAAGGUAAGUCAGAUGUGAAAUUCCGGGGCUCAACCCCGGCACUGCAUCUGAAACUAUUUUUCUUGAGUGCUGGAGAGGAAAGCGGAAUUCCUAGUGUAGCGGUGAAAUGCGUAGAUAUUAGGAGGAACACCAGUGGCGAAGGCGGCUCGCUGGGCUCUACCUGACGCUGAGGCGCGAAAGCGUGGGGAGCGAACCGG
rnacentral:rRNA from 1 species